rnacentral:lncRNA from 13 species
AUGGUACUGCGUUUACUGCUUGUACUACUGAUACUGCUUUUACUGCUGGUACUGCUUUUACUGCUGGUACUGUAUUUUACUGCAUUUUCUGCUUUUACCAAUGGUACUGCUGGUGCUGCAUUACUGCUGGUACUGCUUUUACUGCUUGUACUACUGAUACUGCUUUUACUGCUGGUACUGAUUUUACUGCUUGUACUACUGAUACUGCUUUUACUGCUGGUACUGAUUUUACUGCUUGUACUACUGAUACUGCUUUUACUGCUGGUACUGAAUUUUACUGCUUUUACUAGCGGUACUGCAUUUACUACUGGUGCUGCUUUUACUAAUGGUACUGCGGUUACUACUGGUACUGCUUUUACUGCUAGUAGUAUUGUUACUGUUUUUACUACUUUUACUGCUGGUACUGCUUCUACUUCUGGUACUGCUGGUACUGCUAACACUGCUUUUACUGCUGGUACUGCUUUUAUUAAUGGUACUGCUUUUAAUGCUGGUACUACUUUUAAUGCUGGUACUGCUUUUACUACUAGUACUGCUUUUAUUAAUGGUACUGGUACUGCUUUAAUUAAUGGUACUGAUUUUACUACUGGUACUGCUUUUACUAAUGGUACUGGUACUUAUUUUAUUAAUGGUACUGGUACUGCUUUUAGUAAUGGUACUGCUAUUACUACUGGUACUGCUUUUACUAAUGGUACUGGUACUGUUUUUAUUAAUGGUACUGCUUUUACUACUGGUACUGCUUUUAUUAAUGGUACUGCUUUUCCUGCUGGUACUGCUUUUACUACUGGUAUUGCUUUUACUACUGGUACUGCUUUUACUACUAGUACUGCUGGUACUGGUAGUACUGUUUUUACUACUGAUACUGAUUUUAGUGCUGGUACUGCUUUUAUUAAUGGUACUGCUUUUAUUAAUGGUACUGCUUUUAUUAAUGGUACUGCUUUUACUGCUGGUACUGCUUUUAUUAAUGGUACUGCUUUUACUACUAGUACUGCUUUUAUUAAUGGUACUGCUUUUACUACUGGUACUGCUUUUACUACUAGUACUGCUUUUAUUAAUGGUACUGCUUUUACUAAUGGUACUGCUUUUACUGCUGGUACUGCUUUUACUACUAGUACUGCUUUUAUUAAUGGUACUGCUUUUACUACUAGUACUGCUUUUAUUAAUGGUACUGCUUUUACUACUAGUACUGCUUUUAUUAAUGGUACUGCUUUUACUACUGGUACUGCUUUUACUACUGGUACUGCUUUUACUACUGGUACUGCUUUUAUUAAUGGUACUGCUUUUACUACUAGUACUUAUUUUACUACUGAUACUUAUUUUACUGAUGGUACUUAUUGUACUGCUGGUACUUAUAGUACUGCACUGGUACUGCUCUAG